AACGCACAUUGCGCCCUCUGGUAUUCCGGAGGGCAUGCCUGUUCGAGCGUCAUUACAACCCUCAAGCUCUGCUUGGUAUUGGGCCUCGCCGGUUACACGGCGUGCCUUAAAAUCAGUGGCGGUGCCAUCUGGCUCUAAGCGUAGUACAUCUCUCGCUCUGGGUGCCCGGUGGAUGCUUGCCAACAACCCCCAAUUUCUUAAGGUUGACCUCGGAUCAGGUAGGGAUACCCGCUGAACUUAA
rnacentral:misc_RNA from 1 species